CCGGCUGGAACCAUGGAGGGUACAGAAGACAAGAAGAAGGUUCCUGCUGUGCCAGAAACCCUUAAGAAAAAGCGAAAGAAUUUCGCAGAGCUGAAGAUCAAGUGCCUGAGAAAGAAGUUUGCCCAAAAGAUGCUUCGAAAGGCAAGGAGGAAGCUUAUCUAUGAAAAAGCUAAGCACUACCACAAGGAAUUUAGGCGGAUGUACAGAAUCAAGAUCUGAAUGGCUAGGAUGACAAGAAAAGCUGGCAACUUCUAUGUACCUGCGGAACCAAAAUUGGCAUUUGUCAUCAGGAUCAGAGGCAUCAAUGGUGUGAGCCCAAAGGUCCGAAAGGUGUUGCAGCUUCUUUGCCUUUGCCAGAUCUUCAACGGCACCUUUGUUAAGCUCAACAAGGCUUCCAUCAACAUGCUGAGGAUUGUGGAACCAUAUAUCGUGUGGGGGUACCCAAACCUGAAGUCAGUAAAUGAGUUGAUCUACAAGCGUGGUUAUGGCAAAAUUAACAAGAAGCAAAUUGCCCUGACAGAUAACGCCUUGAUUGCUCGAUCUCUGGGUAAAUUUGGCAUCAUUUGCAUGGAGGAUCUGAUUCAUGAGAUCUAUACUGUUGGAAAACGUUUCAAAGAAGCAAACAAUUUCCUAUGGCCCUUCAAAUUAUCUUCUCCAUGAGGUGGAAUGAAGAAAAAGACCACCCAUUUUGUGGAAGGUGGAGAUGCUGGCAACAGGGAAGACCAGAUCAAUAGGCUUAUUAGAAGGAUGAACUAAGGUGUCUACCGUGAUUACUUUUGUAAUCUGG